rnacentral:lncRNA from 1 species
UUGAUCUAACUGAAGAUGAAGCUACUUUCCAUAUGAGACAGAGUGCCUUCCUCUACCAACUAGCAGUUCAAACCAUGCCCAAGAGUCAUCAUUGCUUGUCAAUGCGACUAACUGUAGAGUAUUUUAGAGACUCUUCACCUGAUAUCGACCAGUCAUUGGCAGACAGACAUUUGAAUCCAGAUCUUCACCACUUAAGUCAUCAUUGCCUGUCAAUGCGACUAACUGUAGAGUAUUUUAGAGACCCUUCACCUGAUAUCGAUCAGUCAUUGGCAGAGAGACAUUUGAAUCCAGAUCUUCACCACUUUGUUAUAUUCUCCAACAAUGUGCUGGCAUCAUCUGCUGUAAUUAACUCCACUGUAAUGCAUGCUAAA